AGCACAGUGGCGCAGUGGAAGGUUGCUGGGCCGAAACCCCAGAGGUCCGUGGAUCGAAACUACGCUCUGCUU